GAACAUCAGCCAGUUAGUGCAUGCCUACAACUGCACUCAAAAUGAGGCCACGGGUUACUCUCCCUACCUCUUGAUGUUUGGGAGGGAAGCUCAUCUGCCUGUAGAUGUUUGUUUUGGAGUGACUGAGGACUGUGCUCAGGAUUCGACAUACCACCAGUAUGUGGGCAAACUUAGAGGCGACCUAAAACGGGACUACCAGUUAGCUACAGAAGCAGCAGGGGAAAAUCAUCAAAGGAACAAAAAAAGCACAUGACAAGAAUGUCAGAGAACAUGUUCUGGAGAAAGGAGAUCGGGUCCUACUAAGAAAUUUUGGCAUGACUGGUAGACACAAGCUAAAAGAGAAAUGGAGGACAGUUCCAUAUGUUGUUACAAAAAAGUUGCCACACAUACCUAUUUUUAAGGUGAAACCUGAAAGUGAAAGGGGGGUGGAGAAAACUGUGCAACGUAAUCACUUACUACCUGUAGGAGGUCUAGUGAGGUUGCCAGUAGAUGGAGAAACUGAUUCUGAGCAAGACUUGUCAAAAG